rnacentral:tRNA from 1 species
GCCUCGGUGGCUUAGCCUGGUUGAGCGAUUGACUUGUAAUCAAUAGGGCGAGGGUUCAAAUCCCUCCCGGGGCU